rnacentral:rRNA from 1 species
GCCCUGGCAGUCAGAGGCGAUGAAGGGCGUGCUAAUCUGCGAUAAGCGCCGGUAAGGUGAUAUGAACCGUUAUAACCGGCGAUACCCGAAUGGGGAAACCCAGUGUGAUUCGUCACACUAUCAUUAACUGAAUCCAUAGGUUAAUGAGGCGAACCGGGGGAACUGAAACAUCUAAGUACCCCGAGGAAAAGAAAUCAACCGAGAUUCCCCCAGUAGCGGCGAGCGAACGGGGAGGAGCCCAGAGCCUGAAUCAGCAUGUGUGUUAGUGGAAGCGUCUGGAAAGGCGCGCGAUACAGGGUGACAGCCCCGUACACAAAAGCGCAUGUGCUGUGAGCUCGAUGAGUAGGGCGGGACACGUGGUAUCCUGUCUGAAUAUGGGGGGACCAUCCUCCAAGGCUAAAUACUCCUGACUGACCGAUAGUGAACCAGUACCGUGAGGGAAAGGCGAAAAGAACCCCGGCGAGGGGAGUGAAAAAGAACCUGAAACCGUGUACGUACAAGCAGUGGGAGCACCCUUUUGGGUGUGACUGCGUACCUUUUGUAUAAUGGGUCAGCGACUUAUAUUCUGUAGCAAGGUUAACCGAAUAGGGGAGCCGGAGGGAAACCGAGUCUUAACCGGGCGUUAAGUUGCAGGGUAUAGACCCGAAACCCGGUGAUCUAGCCAUGGGCAGGUUGAAGGUUGGGUAACACUAACUGGAGGACCGAACCGACUAAUGUUGAAAAAUUAGCGGAUGACCUGUGGCUGGGGGUGAAAGGCCAAUCAAACCGGGAGAUAGCUGGUUCUCCCCGAAAGCUAUUUAGGUAGCGCCUCGUGAAUUCAUCUCCGGGGGUAGAGCACUGUUUCGGCUAGGGGGCCAUCCCGGCUUACCAACCCGAUGCAAACUGCGAAUACCGGAGAAUGUUAUCACGGGAGACACACGGCGGGUGCUAACGUCCGUCGUGAAGAGGGAAACAACCCAGACCGCCAGCUAAGGUCCCAAAGUCAUGGUUAAGUGGGAAACGAUGUGGGAAGGCCCAGACAGCCAGGAUGUUGGCUUAGAAGCAGCCAUCAUUUAAAGAAAGCGUAAUAGCUCACUGGUCGAGUCGGCCUGCGCGGAAGAUGUAACGGGGCUAAACCAUGCACCGAAGCUGCGGCAGCGACACUGAUGUGUUGUUGGGUAGGGGAGCGUUCUGUAAGCCUGUGAAGGUGUGUCGUGAGGCAUGCUGGAGGUA